rnacentral:rRNA from 1 species
AACGAACGCUGGCGGCAGGCUUAACACAUGCAAGUCGAACGCCUGUAGCAAUACAGGAGUGGCAGACGGGUGAGUAACACGUGGGAACGUGCCCAAAGGUACGGAACAACUCCGGGAAACUGGAGCUAAUACCGUAUGUGCCCGAAAGGGGAAAGAUUUAUCGCCUUUGGAUCGGCCCGCGUCUGAUUAGCUAGUUGGUGGGGUAAUGGCCUACCAAGGCGACGAUCAGUAGCUGGUCUGAGAGGAUGGCCAGCCACACUGGGACUGGGACACGGCCCAGACUCCUACGGGAGGCAGCAGUGGGGAAUAUUGGACAAUGGGCGAAAGCCUGAUCCAGCAAUGCCGCGUGAGUGAUGAAGGCCUUAGGGUUGUAAAGCUCUUUUACCCGGGAUGAUAAUGACAGUACCGGGAGAAUAAGCUCCGGCUAACUCCGUGCCAGCAGCCGCGGUAA